rnacentral:rRNA from 1 species
UACGUAGGAGGCAAGUGUUAUCCGGAAUUAUUGGGCGUAAAGAGCGCGCAGGUGGUUAAUUAAGUCUGAUGUGAAAGCCCACGGCUUAACCGUGGAGGGUCAUUGGAAACUGGUUGACUUGAGUGCAGAAGAGGGAAGUGGAAUUCCAUGUGUAGCGGUGAAAUGCGUAGAGAUAUGGAGGAACACCAGUGGCGAAGGCGGCUUCCUGGUCUGCAACUGACACUGAGGCGCGAAAGCGUGGGGAGCAAACAGG